ensembl:lncRNA
AUGAAGAUCAGGCUGUCUUUGGCUGCCGCUGCACUCUUUACUAUAUUACUGAAUUCAGUAGAGGCUCAAGUGGAGCCUCCUUCAGACUUGAAAUUUAAAAUCUUAAAUGAAAACACAGUGCAUAUGUCAUGGAGGAGGCCUUCGUCUCAGAUACAGGGCUACAGAAUACAAGUCAUAUCAGAUACAGAUUAUUUGAAAGAUUUCAGUCUUCCUGCCUCGGUCACAAACACAUCAAUCACGGAUUUAACUCCAGAUGUAGACUAUUCAGUGUCUAUCAAUUCAUAUGAUGGUGCGGAAGAAAGUAUCCCUAUCCUUGGACAAAUAACAAGUAAUGGAACAAAGAGGCCACCGUCAGAGGCUGUCAAGUGUUCAGUGAGUGCUAUCGCGGAUCUGGUUUUCCUGGUGGAUGGCUCUUGGAGCGUGGGAAGAGAAAACUUUAAAUUCAUCCGGAGUUUCAUUGGGGCCAUGGCGGGAGCUUUUGACAUUGGAGAGGAUAAGACCAGAGUGGCUGUGGUGCAGUACAGCUCAGAUACCAGGACAGAGUUCAACCUGAACCAGUAUUACAGGCGGCCUGAUGUCCUGCGAGCCAUUAAAAAUCUGCCCUACAAGGGUGGUAACACCAUGACAGGUGAUGCAAUGGACUAUCUGGUGAAAAACACUUUCACUGCGGCGGCUGGAGCCAGGAAAGGCUUUCCAAAAGUAGCCAUGAUCAUCACGGAUGGAAAGUCACAAGACCCAGUAGGGGAGUACGCAGAACGCCUGAGGAACAUUGGAGUAGAGAUCUUUGUCCUGGGUAUCAAAGGAGCAGAUGAGGAUGAGUUAAAGGAGAUAGCCUCCACUCCCCACAGCAAGCAUAUCUAUAAUGUCCCAAACUUCGACAUGAUCAAUCAGUUGCAGCUGGAGCUCAUCACGCAGGUGUGCUCUGGUGUGGAGGAGCAGCUAAAUUUGCUUGCAAGCGGAGAGGAAGUUGUUGAACCAGCUUCAGACCUCAGAGUAACUGACGUCUCCUCCAAAUCCAUGAGAAUUAGGUGGGAUUCGUCUCCUGGUGACAUCACAGGCUAUAAGCUGCAGGUCUUCCCCAUGAUUGCUGGCGCCAAGAAGCAGGAGCUCUACACAGGGCCCACAUUCACCGUGGCCAAUGUCAGAGACCUGUCUCCUGAGACAGAGUAUGAGAUCAGUCUGUUUGCCCUCAAAGGUCUGACUCCUAGUAAGCCACAAGUUGUCAACGAGAAAACACAGCCUGUGAAGGUGUCUACAGAGUGCUCCCAAGAGGUCGAGGUCCAAGCUGAUAUUGUCCUCCUGGUCGAUGGCUCGUACAGUAUAGGACUGUCUAACUUUGCUAAAGUUAGAGCCUUCCUUGAAGUGCUCGUCAAUUCUUUUGACAUCGGACCCAACAAAGUGCAGAUCAGCUUGGUUCAGUACAGCCGGGAUCCACACACUGAGUUUGCCCUGAACAAGCACGAUGACAAUGCAGCUGUGCUCAAUGCAGUCCGCACCUUCCCCUACCGUGGAGGCUCCACCAACACUGGCAAGGCCAUGACCUACGUAAGGGAAAAGAUCUUCAUUCCAGCCCGUGGCGCUCGUGAUAACGUGCCCCGAGUCAUGGUGCUCAUCACAGAUGGUAAAUCCUCGGAUUCUUUCAAAAACCCUGCCAACAAACUAAGGGAUGCAGACGUGGAGAUUUUCGCCGUGGGAGUCAAGGACGCCGUGCGCUCCGAGCUGGAGGCGAUUGCCAACGCACCUGCUGAUAACCAUGUGUUUGAGGUGGAAGACUUUGAUUCCUUUCAGCGGAUCUCCAAGGAACUAACCACAUCCAUCUGUCUAAGAAUUGAGCAGGAGCUCCAUAACAUCAAGAAAAGAAGUUUGGUUCCACCAAAGUCGCUAAGCUUCUCUGAGGUCACCUCCAGAAGCUUCAGGACCUCGUGGAUUUCUGACGGAGAGGAUGUCCUGUCUUUUCUGGUGCGUUUCAGGCCAGCGGCUGACGUAACUGGAGACUACAUCUCUUUGGUGGUUCCUCCUGACACCACCACUACGAUUUUGCCCAAUCUCACGCCCCUGACCACUUACGAGGUUAAUGUCAUCGCCCAGUAUGAUAAAGGAGACAGUUUUCCUUUGACAGGCGAGGAGACGACUUUAGAAGAAUUAGGCUCUGUCCGUAACCUCGUGGUGAGUGAUGAGACCGUAGACAGCUUCCGCGUGUCGUGGAGAGCCGCUCCAGGAGCAGUGCUGAGGUACAGACUGUUGUAUGAGCCAGUGGGUGGAGGAGAUAAACUGGAAGCACAGACUGAUGGGAGUCAGGUCACCAUUGUGCUCCACGAACUGCUACCCGUCACCACUUACCGUGUCACAGUGUACCCCGAGUAUGCAAGUGGAAUGGGUCCCUCCAUGGACACUGAGGUCCGGGGCUCUCCACGUGACCUGAGGGUCUUCAACGAGACCGUGUCCAGCAUGAGGGUCUCAUGGCGGGCCGCUCCAGGCAAUGUGCUGCAAUAUCAAGUGGCCUACAAACCUGAUGGUGGGGAAAGAAAAGAAAUGUUUGUUAAAGGAGACGCAACAACGGCUUUGCUGAGAAAUCUGUCACCAGACACCGAGUAUGAGAUCUUCGUUAGUGCCCGUUACACCUCUGGCCUCGGAGCGCCACUGAUGGGAACAGGCACUACUCUGGAAGAACUCGGCUCACCUACGAAUCUGGUUACUUCAGAUGUCACUGAGAGCAGUUUUGUGGCAUCCUGGACUGCCGCCCCUGGCAACGUCCGCCUUUAUCGGGUCACCUGGAAAUCCCUCUUUUCAGAGGAAGCUGGCGAGAAAACCGUCCCCGGGGACAUAACCACCACUGUUCUGGACGGACUGACUCCGGAGACCCGCUACAAGGUUUCUGUCUACGCUGCCUACAGCAGUAAGGAGGGAGAGCCACUCCAUGGAGAGGAGACCACAGAUGGUAAGUCCAUUCCCGCCUGCGUAAUGAAUCCAGCAUAUGACCAAACGCUCUUUACCUCGCUCUGUGUGUCUGAGGUGGAGGUAAUGUGCAAAACCACAGCCCAGGCCGAUAUCAUCCUGCUUGUUGAUGGAUCUUGGAGCAUUGGUCGUCUGAACUUCAAGACUAUAAGGUCUUUCAUUGCUCGCAUGGUGGGUGUCUUUGACAUCGGGCCGGAUCGUGUCCAGAUCGGUCUGGCACAAUACAGUGGAGACCCAAAGACUGAGUGGCACCUAAACUCUCACAGGACCAGAAAAGAGCUGCUGGAUGCCGUGGCCAAUCUACCCUACAAAGGAGGAAACACUCUGACUGGCCUUGCUUUAAACUACAUCCUUCAGAACAAUUUCAAGGCUAAUGUUGGAAUGCGUCCGAACUCUCGGAAGAUCGGCGUCCUGGUUACUGAUGGCAAGUCUCAGGAUGACAUCAUGGUCAACUCUCAGAACCUACGCGACCAGGGCAUUGAGCUGUAUGCCAUUGGUGUGAAGAACGCAGAUGAGAAUGAGCUGAGAUCCAUUGCUUCAGAUCCCGAUGACAUCCACAUGUACAAUGUGGCUGACUUCUCCUUCCUGCUGGACAUCGUGGACGACCUGACAAACAACCUAUGUAACAGUGUCAAGGGUCCAGGUAUCACUGAGCCACCCACUGAUCUAACGACCUCAGAAGUGACCCAUUACUCCUUCCGCGCCACCUGGGUUGCCCCUGAUGGACCCGUGGAGAAGUACAGAAUAGAGUAUGUGAGCAUCGCAGGAGGAGAACCACAAAAGUUGCUUGUCGACGGGACGGUGACGACUGUGGUCUUGGAGAAUCUCACUCCGCUGACGGAGUACAUCGUGAAGGUUCACUCAGUGGUGGGAGAGGACAGCAGCGACCCCCUCAAAGGCUCAGAGACGACAUCCAAUUCCUCAACAAUAUUUACUGACGUCCAGCUGAAGAAACUUCGUCCCAACACGGCCUUCAGAGUUUCCGUCUUCGCCCUGUUCGGCGAUUUUGGCUUUCUUCCCCUCAGCAGGGAUUUGAGGAUCACAGACGUUACCCACAGCACCAUGCAGCUGGACUGGGAUCCAUCGCCCGGUGCCGUUCGUAAAUACAUAAUCACUUACAAGCCAGAGGAUGGAGAGUCGAAGGAGCUUGAAGUUGACGGAGAUGUAAUGUCUAGAGGACUGGAUAAUCUCAUUUCCCAAACGGAAUACGAUGUGGCUGUCACUCCUGUGUAUGAUUCUGGGACCGGAAACCCAAUGCUUAACCAAGCCAUUACAGACGUUGUCCCUGCCCCGAAGAAUUUGAGGUUCUCUCAAGUGACCCAGACCAGUUUCAGGGCUCACUGGGAGCACGGCGCUCCUGAUGUCUCCCUCUACCGCGUCGGCUGGACCAAGAGUGGAGAGAACAACUUUCAAUAUGACACCACUCUCCUUCUGGAGAACCUGGAGCCAGACACCCUCUAUGAUGUUUCUGUCACUGCCAUUUACCCCGAUGAAUCUGAGAGCGAAGAUCUUCUGGGCAGCCAACGCACAUCUCCUAGUGGACCUCCUCAGAACCUCCAGGUGUUCAAUGCGACUACCACCUCCCUCACCACCAAGUGGGAUCACGCUCCUGGACGAGUGCAGAACUACAGGAUCACCUACGUACCGGUUGCAGGAGGAAGAUCACAGUCGACACAGAUUGGAGGGAAGAAAAACACAGUUAAUCUGCAGAAACUGACUCCAGACACUCCCUACUACAUCACAGUUGCUGCAGUCUAUGCGAAUGGAGAUGCCAAAGACAUUUCUGGCCAAGGAAAGACAUUACCACUGGGCAGUGUGAGAAACCUUCAGGUCACGGACCCCACGGUCAGCACUCUGAAUGUACGCUGGGAGCCGGCUGAAGGGAGCGUACGGCAAUACAGGAUUUACUACCAGACCGUCACAGGGGGCGCAGAAGACAUGGUCCAGGUUCCUGGAAGCACCACCAGUACAGUUCUGAAGAACCUGCAGUCUGAUACUGAGUACACAGUAACAGUGGUGCCAGUAUACGCUCCUGGAGAGGGCAAGCGCAUGUCGGAGAACGGAAAAACCUUGACGCGUACCCCUGCCAAGAACAUCCGGGUUUACAACCCCACCACAAACACCCUGAAUGUGCGCUGGGAGCCGGCCUCCGGAGAUGUGCUGCAGUACCGCGUCGCCUACACCCCCCUCUCUGGAACCCGUUCCGCUCAAUCUGUGCUCGUUCCAGGGAACACCCACACUGCCUUGCUGCAGCAGCUCGAUUCAGACACAGACUAUGCUGUGAGUGUGGUGGCUCUGUAUGCUGACGGCGAGGGCUCCUCUGUGUCAGAUAAUGGAAAAACAAUGCCCCGCGGCGGCCCUAGGAACCUGCGUGUGUAUGAUCCGACCACCAGCACGCUGUCUGUCAGCUGGGAGCAUGCAGAAGGACCCGUGCUGCAGUACCGCAUUGGCUAUGCACCCACCACUGGAGAUCCCAUUGAGGAGUUUACAAGUGUCCCUGGCAACAGGAACUCUGUCAUCUUGCAAAACCUGCAGCCAGACACUCCGUACAACAUCAACGUAGAGGCUAUUUAUCAAGAUGGGCCUGGAGGACAACUGUCUGGAGAUGGAAAAACAUUGGGUCUCUUGGAGCCUCGUAACCUGCGUGUUUCUGAUGAGUGGUACACUCGUUUCCGAGUGUCCUGGGAUCCUGUACCUGCGCGGGUCAACGGUUAUAAUCUGGUCUAUACCCCAGUGGGCACGGAUAACACCAUGGAAGUGUUUGUUGGAGAUGUUACUACACACAUCCUGCACAACCUCCAGCCUGGCACCACGUACGACCUGAAGGUUUACGCUCAGUAUGACGCAGGCGUGAGCGGCGCUCUGGUCGGACAAGGAACCACCUUGUACCUUAAUGUGACUGACCUCACCACAUACAAUGUCGGCUAUGACUCCUUCUGCAUCAGAUGGACGCCUCACCGAGCCGCCACCUCUUACAGGCUAAAACUCAAUCCUUUCAAUUCGGCUAACCGUGGGGCUCAGGAGGUCACUAUCACUGCCGCUGAGAGCCAGUACUGUUUUGAUGGGCUGACGCCAGACGCGCUGUACAACGCCACAGUCUACACACAGACCCCCAACCAGGAGGGGCCCGGAGUCAGUGUCAAAGAGCGCACACUGGUGAAGCCCACCGUAGCCCCAACACCACCUCCAACUCCUCCACCACCACCCACCAUCCCUGCUGCACUCGAGGUGUGCAAAGGAGCCAAGGCUGACCUGGUGUUCCUGAUCGACGGCUCGUGGAGCAUUGGAGAUGACAGCUUCAUUAAAGUCCGUCAGUUUCUCUUCAGCAUGAUCGGAGCAUUUGAUGUCAUCAACCGUGAUGGCAUGCAGGUGUCUUUUGUGCAGUACAGUGAUGAAGCUAAAACUGAGUUCAAACUGAACACCUACCACGACAAGGGAAUGGUGCUGUCCGCCCUUCAGAUGGUCAAAUACAGAGGAGGAAACACCAAAACAGGUGCUGCGCUGAAGCAUAUCGGAGACAAAGUGUUCACAUCAGACAGUGGUAUGAGGAGAACCGUUCCCAAGGUUCUGGUCGUAGUAACUGACGGCCGUUCUCAAGAUGAUGUGAAGAAGAGUGCUGCUAAACUACAGCAUGCAGGCUUCAGUGUGUUUGUGGUGGGUGUCGCAGACGUAGACACCGCUGAACUCAGGAACAUUGGAAGCAAGCCCAGCGAGAGACACGUCUUCAUCGUUGAUGACUUUGACGCGUUUACUAAGAUCCAAGACAACCUCAUUACAUUCAUCUGUGAAACGGCAACAUCCACUUGUCCUUUGAUUUACCUCGACGGAUUCACAUCCCCAGGCUUCAGGAUGCUGGAAGCCUUUAACAUCACUGACAAGACGUUUGCUGGCAUGAACGGCGUCUCCAUGGAGUCUGGCUCCUUCAACAGUUACAUUGCAUACAGACUCCAUAAGGAUGCAUUCAUUUCCCAGCCCACAAAGGAAAUCCAUCCAGAUGGUCUUCCUCCCGCAUACACUCUGAUUCUCCUCUUCCGUCUCCUCCCCGACACCGGCAAGGAUGCAUUUGAUAUUUGGCAGAUAUCAGAUAAGAACAACAACCCUGAGGUCGGGCUCACCAUUGACCCCUCCAGUAGAAUCAUCUCAUUCUACAAUAAGGACUCCAGAGGUGAAAUUCAGAAAGUCUCCUUUGAUAACGACCGAGUGAAGAAAGUUUUCCACGGCAGUUUCCACAAGCUUCACAUUUCUAUUUCACCGAAAAAUGUCAAACUCAACAUUGACUGCCAAGAGGUGGCUGAGAAAGAGAUCAAAGAGGCCAACAACAUAUCCACAGAUGGCUAUGAAGUCCUUGGAAAAAUGGCAAAGUCUGGCGGUUCAAGGAAGCAGUCAGCCACAUUCCAGCUCCAGAUGUUUGAUAUUGUCUGCAGUUUGGGCUGGACAAGUCGAGACAAAUGUUGUGAUAUUCCAGCAAUGAGAGAUGAAGCCAAAUGUCCCGCUCUUCCUCACUCCUGCACAUGUGCUCAGGACAGCGUUGGUCCUCCAGGCCCCGCGGGCCCUCCGGUAAGAUCAUUAGAGUCCCAUGACAUUUCCUCUGGUUCAAUGGGCCCACGUGGGGAGCAGGGUCUGCCAGGACAAAUGGGACCACCAGGUCCACAGGGCCCUAAUGGACUGUCUCUUCCUGGUGAACCAGUAAGUAAAGCACAAAACUCUGUCCAUUGCCAUUUGUCAAAUUUGUAUCGCCCCUUACAGAAUAUAAUUAAUACUGCGUCACAGAAUAUGAUGCGCUCUGUAGCAAGACAAGUCUGCGAACAACUAGUCAGCAGUAAGGCACUUCAAAAUAAUAACAAAAAAUAUUCCAGUCACUGUUGCGUCAAGCGAAGUAAAGGAUGCUUUCUUACACCUCCUCUCUUUCCAGGGCCACCGGGGCAGUCUCAGAUAGGACCCCCUGGUCCCUCAGGCUCAGCGGGGCCCCGGGGCCCACCAGGGCAGCAGGGUGGACCCGGAGUCAGAGGACCACCAGGACCUCCAGGAUACUGUGACUCCUCUCAGUGUGUAGGCAUCCCUUACAAUGGACAGGGUUACCCAGGUAAGCACAGUACAGUUGAGUGA